CAGAAUGUGACUGAUUGAUGUGUGAACGUGCUGGUAUUCAGGAAUCUAGAAUUGUUGCUAUGGUGCUUCGGUGAGGAGUGUUACUGGUUGAGGUUUCCCAAGGGGACGCUACUGAGAAGCUGGCUCACCAAGUCCCGACCCAGACUGCUGCUACUCAUCGCCGGCUUGAAGAGACCGCAGGUCACCCUCAUGCGGAGGAAAAGGAUGAAACGCACAAAAGUAGCAAAGGCCACCUAAGCGAACCUGCAGUCGAAUGCCGCAUUUCACCUAAGUCACUGACACAGAGAAAGAGCCCACGUGUUGAAGAGAUGGAAGCAAAUCAAGACAUAGAGAAACCACAUUACCCAUAUCACCCAAACUUACAAACUAAACACCCAAGCGAAUCCAGAAGGGGUUCAGAGUGUGCUGUGAACAUGAGCUAUCUCCCACAAAGAUCCAGACCCCCUGACUAAAAUCUGGAGCAUUACAUUGAUGUUUGUUCAUCCUUCUCUCAAAUACACAUCUGUCAUGCUUCAUUAUACUACACUGCGAGUCACAGUACAUGAUUGCUAUCAUUACUCUUUUAAGUGCCUUUGGUUGACAGUGGUUUUACUGUGUUCUGUGGUCAGGAUUUCAGGGAUUUUUAUUUUUGAUGCCAAAUGAUGUGUGAGUGGAAAAAGAAAAAGAAAAAAGAUGUAUAGAUAUCAUAAGCUCUUAACUAGCACACCAGCAGGUUUUACAUACUGUUGAUCCGGUCAGACCGACCUUUACUUUGUCAUUAAGAGUAAAACAAUUCUUGUAAAUGUCAAUAUACAAUUAAAACAACCUUCACUAAUAUUUUAUAUCACACUACAAACAUACAUUUCUU